rnacentral:rRNA from 1 species
GGCCAGACUCCUACGGGAGGCAGCAGUGGGGAAUAUUGCACAAUGGGGGAAACCCUGAUGCAGCGACGCCGCGUGAAGGAUGAAGUAUUUCGGUAUGUAAACUUCUAUCAGCAGGGAAGAAAAUGACGGUACCUGACUAAGAAGCCCCGGCUAACUACGUGCCAGCAGCCGCGGUAAUACGUAGGGGGCGAGCGUUAUCCGGAUUCACUGGGUGUAAAGGGAGCGUAGACGGCCAUGCAAGCCAGGGGUGAAAGCCCGGGGCCCAACCCCGGGACUGCCCUUGGAACUGCAUGGCUGGAGUGCGGGAGGGGCAGGCGGAAUUCCUGGUGUAGCGGUGAAAUGCGUAGAUAUCAGGAGGAACACCGGCGGCGAAGGCGGCCUGCUGGACAUUAACUGACGCUGAGGCGCGAAAGCGUGGGGAGCAAACAGGAUUAGAUACCCCGGUA